AGCCUUUAUGUUACCCGUUCACUUUUGGAAGCUCGUGAAUGUUGUAUUAAAAGAGGCAUAAAUACAUGCUUUGUGGCUUUUUGUGCCCUAAAAUUUAGUAUAUUUGGUGUAGAAGGUAGAAGCUGUAUAAGUAACAGUU
rnacentral:snoRNA from 17 species